AGUGGCGAACGGGUGAGUAAUAUAUCGGAACGUACCCUAGAGUGGGGGAUAACGUAGCGAAAGUUACGCUAAUACCGCAUACGAUCUAAGGAUGAAAGUGGGGGAUCGCAAGACCUCAUGCUCGUGGAGCGGCCGAUAUCUGGUUAGCUAGUUGGUAGGGUAAAAGCCUACCAAGGCAUCGAUCAGUAGCUGGUCUGAGAGGACGACCAGCCACACUGGAACUGAGACACGGUCCAGACUCCUACGGGAGGCAGCAGUGGGGAAUUUUGGACAAUGGGCGAAAGCCUGAUCCAGCAAUGCCGCGUGAGUGAAGAAGGCCUUCGGGUUGUAAAGCUCUUUUGUCAGGGAAGAAACGGUGAGAGCUAAUAUCUCUUGCUAAUGACGGUACCUGAAGAAUAAGCACCGGCUAACUACGUGCCAGCAGCCGCGGUAAUACGUAGGGUGCAAGCGUUAAUCGGAAUUACUGGGCGUAAAGCGUGCGCAGGCGGUUUUGUAAGUCUGAUGUGAAAUCCCCGGGCUCAACCUGGGAAUUGCAUUGGAGACUGCAAGGCUAGAAUCUGGCAGAGGGGGGUAGAAUUCCACGUGUAGCAGUGAAAUGCGUAGAUAUGUGGAGGAACACCGAUGGCGAAGGCAGCCCCCUGGGUCAAGAUUGACGCUCAUGCACGAAAGCGUGGGGAGCAAACAGGAUUAGAUACCCUGGUAGUCCACGCCCUAAACGAUGUCUACUAGUUGU
rnacentral:rRNA from 1 species